ensembl:snRNA RNU6-996P RNA, U6 small nuclear 996, pseudogene
GUGCUUGCUCCAGCAGCACAUUUAUUAAAAUGAGAACAAUACAGAGAAGAUUAGCAUGGCCCCUUUGUAAGGAUGACAUGCAAAUUUGUGAAGCGUCCCAUAUUUUG